rnacentral:rRNA from 1 species
CACGUAGGGUGCGAGCGUUGUCCGGAAUUAUUGGGCGUAAAGAGCUCGUAGGCGGUGUGUCGCGUCGGCCGUGAAAACCUGCAGCUUAACUGUGGGCUUGCGGUCGAUACGGGCAUCACUGGAGUUCGGCAGGGGAGACUGGAAUUCCUGGUGUAGCGGUGAAAUGCGCAGAUAUCAGGAGGAACACCGGUGGCGAAGGCGGGUCUCUGGGUAGUAACUGACGCUGAGGAACGAAAGCGUGGGUAGCGAACAGGA